GGCUGUUACUGCUGCUGUCGUUCCUGCUUCCUAGUGGUCAGAUUGCGCGCACUAUCUUUUAAUUUUCUCGGAACGAGGGGCGGGGGAAGGGAUGGGCCUCCGAUACGCCUCAUGAUUUGCUGCCCGGUGCGUCAUACGAAGAUUCGUAGAACAGCGAUAGCAAAAAAAAAACAUGUGCAGUGACCCUGUCUGCAUUGCAGGAUUCAGGGAAAUGGACACUUGUAUGCAAAGGCUAAUUAGUUAACAAAUUGGAGUGUGAGCCCGGUUAAGAAAUCCUUUCGAAACAACAUCCCGUGACCGCGAUGCUAUUUCUAACACGGUUGUCGUUAGCGAAAGUUCGCAUGUGUCAAACCAACCAUUUGACAUUGGCAGGAUUGGCUUCAGGUGAGGUGAAUCGUCCAUUAACUUGUGAAGCACUUCGCCUUGCUGGACGAAAGCGCGCGGAAGCUUUCUACCGGCCUCGAUGGCUCGUUCCUUCCGCUGCCAAGACCUGCAUCAUUCAGUGUGUGGAUGGGAUAACAUUCUUUUAAACCGCUGCUUACCUAAAAGGGUGCCGGGACGUAACGUUUUAAGUUGACUGCUUUGCAUGAUAGGAAUGCUUGGGAAGAUCGCUCAAACUUGAACAUAUCAACAGCUUGGCAGUAUUAAAUGACUGGAUAAUGAAUUUCUCAGCGUUUCAUUUAAAUUUAAGAUUAUCUCAAUCUCGUUUAGCAUUAUGUGCAUGUGUGUGUUGUCACCAAGCUAUUUAAAACUUCUAGAAUGCUGGAGUUUAUUGUACUGUACCUUCUCGUUUGCCGGAUCAUGGGAAGUUAGUGAUGGUUGUGUAAAAGAAAAGAAGUUUAACUAACAUAGCUAAGAUGCAGUGGUAUCAAUAAGGAACCAUUAUUUGUUGCUAGUGAUGAGACAUACUAAUGACCGGUGAAAGGUAGCUUCUACCUUCCGCAUCUAGUUUAUAUUUAUCCGAAGACUGCUAGCAGGUUGCAUACUUAGAAGAUAUGUUCACAUUGCCGUAUCCAUACUGAUCCGCGCUGUGUUUCUGGAGUUACCUGAUGAACAACGACACUGAAAUAUAUUAUAGCUAGAAGCUUCAUAUAUAAUGCUUUUACUUAAUCCAACGUGAUGCUGUCACGAAGAAGGAAAUUUUCAUUUGCGGAGGGCAAAUAUGGAAUAUCAUGAUAGGCAAGGGAACAAGUGAUCAUAAUGUUUCUUAUUUUGGUCUUAUCUACAACAGAUUAUCCAGCAGUUGGUGUUGUAAAGGUGUACAUCGUAUGUACCAACACAUAUCACUGUUAUAUAGCAUCAUCUCUAAUGCUUCCAGCCUCCUAUGGCGUUUGCAAAUUAUCCUGCAGAUCACAAUUUUCUGUUACUUCAUACAGCAAAGAUAAUAGAAUAAUACUUUUUAUUUUUAACAAGUCUGGGCGUAUUGAGCUAAGUCCUGCAAAUCAAUGGCUGAAUCCUUUGUGUAAAGAAGAAGAAAAAAAGUCCUCCCUCAACUGAUAAAGAACAAAAAUUAAGGUUUUACAUGCUAAUUAGUAUUACAAUGCCUGAUCGAUCAUAAUCUCUAGGAACACACACACACACACACAUAUAUAUAACCUCAUAUUUGCUGCCACUGUCUGGGAGAGGCUGCUGUAGACAUGUUGAAUGUUGUUUACAAUGCCUCCCGUGAAAUCUUUAGAUACUGUUCCAGAAAUUUGUACGUUGUGCGUUAAUGCUCAUGAUUUUUUUUCUUGAAAUAUCUAUGGCAGAUCCUCAAUAGUGUGCAGUUUGCUGAUUCGAACAAGGAAAAAACAUAUCGUGCCAAAGCUAGUAUGUUUUCUUGAGGGUGAUACUUGCCAUGCCCUUGUUACUAGUGGUUGUCGUACUCCUUUUGAGUUUGUUCACGUUGGUGGCCUAAUAAUUGAUUGGGCAACUAAAUCACUAUUAUAUCUUCAGCUUCAUGAUUACUGUCCACUAACACGUUAUGAACGGUUUGGUUUUCUGAAGGAGUAGUCUGGCUAGUCUAGAGAGUGAGGUACAGGCUUACAACAGCAUUCACAUUCAUUUCCUAAUGAGAUUCCUUCUAGCUGGGACUCAGCAAAAUGAUGUUGGUUUGACAGGAUACAACAGCCUACAAAACUUCUCCUCAAAAAGCAAUGUGAUUAAUGCCUUUUAUGUCAUGUGCGCAUUUGUUGAUUGUUGUAUUGCAAAUGAAGUCAAGCCUUCCUUUGCGCUGUACUUCUCCCAAGGUUCACAUCAGUAAUCAACUUUGUACUUCUAGUAAAGGGAGCAGUUCGAUCCGGAAUUUUUCACAGAUGCAAAUUCCUUGAUGCCUUAGACAUCGGAUGCAGAUCAACAUUCUAUCUCUCUCAGU